rnacentral:rRNA from 1 species
UGGGUAACCUGCCUCAAAGAGGGGAAUAGCCUCCCGAAAAGGGAGAUUAAUACCGCAUAAUAUGUUUUAAUCGCAUGAUUUUAACAUCAAAGGAUUUUCUUCGGAACUUCCACUUUGAGAUGGACCCGCGGCGCAUUAGCUAGUUGGUGAGGUAACGGCUCACCAAGGCAACAAUGCGUAGCCGACCUGAGAGGGUGAUCGGCCACAUUGGAACUGAGACACGGUCCAGACUCCGUAGGGAG